GAUGAACGCUGGCGGCGUGCCUAAUACAUGCAAGUCGAGCGAAUGGAUUAAGAGCUUGCUCUUAUGAAGUUAGCGGCGGACGGGUGAGUAACACGUGGGUAACCUGCCCAUAAGGCUGGGAUAACUCCGGGAAACCGGGGCUAAUACCGGAUAACAUUUUGAACCGCAUGGUUCGAAAUUGAAAGGCGGCUUCGGCUGUCACUUAUGGAUGGACCCGCGUCGCAUUAGCUAGUUGGUGAGGUAACGGCUCACCAAGGCAACGAUGCGUAGCCGACCUGAGAGGGUGAUCGGCCACACUGGGAAUGAGACACGGCCCAGACUCCUACGGGAGGCAGCGGUAGGGAAUCUUCCGCAAUGGACGAAAGUCUGACGGAGCAACGCCGCGUGAGUGAUGAAGGCUUUCGGGUCGUAAAACUCUGUUGUUAGGGAAGAACAAGUGCUAGUUGAAUAAGCUGGCACCUUGACGGUACCUAACCAGAAAGCCACGGCUAACUACGUGCCAGCCGCCGCCGUAA
rnacentral:rRNA from 1 species